CUGUCUACAGAAGGGAGAAUGCGUGCUCGGAGCAGAAGAGAUUUACUACAGACCUCAUGGUCGAUCAGGGCAGCCUAGGGACACCCUACCCUGGGGAGGGAGGCUAGGCCAGCCUCUGGAUUACUGGGUUCCGGUUCUCCGCUCUGCAAAUGCAUUCAUGGGAAAAACAUCUGGAGCUCUGGCUGCACAGGGGAGUCCCCUCCCACAAUCACUGGCAGGUUUCCCUGUCUGGUGGUUGAGGGGGAGGGGUGCAGCUUCCCCCACCUCUCAUGAACAGGCCACAGUCACUCUCAAGUCUCUGCCUCCACUCACUUGAGGCCAUUACCACCACAGGGCUAAGGGGAGUAGGGAGAGUCCCAGCCCUGUCUUCCCUGACCUCUGAGUCAUUGACUCCCUGGACAGGGUUCCUGCCAUCUGGUGAGAAGCCAGGAACACAACAUAGGAUUGAAGCCAUCGGUUCCAACCCCACAUCCUCAGCUUUCAGAGGCCACGGAGCAGAGGGAAUUAGAUUUGGCCUGAGAACCCAGCCUCCAGCCCACUUUGCCUUGGUUCUCUGAGACAGGAAGAACUGAUGAUGGCUCAUUCUUACAGACAGAGUGACAGACCACAGAGGGGGUCAGUCUAACUCCAUCCCAGACACAGGGCCAAGUGAACUCACUCUCCAAGUCUGUUUCGUGGUGGUCCUGUCUCAGCCCGGCCUUUACUUCUGGUUCACUCUGAGGCUCCCCAGGCCACACCUGCUCCACUACCACAUUCUGCCACCUCCCUGUCAUGAUUUGGCCCUGAAAUGCCACCCAGAGGCCACAUGCUAAUGACUUGGUGGCCAGCAUAUGGUGGUGGUGCUGGGGGUAACGUGACCUUUUAAAAAUGUUGUUUAUGGGGUUGGGGAUUUAGCUCAGUGGUAGAGUGCUUGCCUAGCAAGCGCAAGGCCCUGGGUUCAGUACUCAGCUCCGAAAAAAAAAGAAAAAAAAAUGUUGUUUAUUAGUUUUGGUUAUGUGGAUGUCUGUGUGUAGGUGUACGCACAAAGCUGCAAGUCCCCAAAGAGACAGAGGAGUUGGAUCCCAUAGCCUGGAUGGACAGGCAGUUGUGUACCUCCUGACAUGAGCUAAGGCCUUUGGAGGACCAGUAUGUGCUCUUAAUAUGUGAGCCAUAUCGCCAGCCCGAAGGGUGACGGGACCUUUAAGAGAGGAAGGACCUAAAAAGCUGGGUACCGUGGUGCACGCCUUUAAUCCCAGUACUCAGGAGGCAGAGGCAGGAGGAUCUCUGUGAGUUUGAGGCUAGACUAGUCUAUGAAUCGAGUUUCAGGACACCAGGGAUACACAGAAAAACCCUGUCUGGGAAGAAGAAAGAAAAAAGAAGGAAAAAAAAAGAGGAUGGACCUAGUGCCGGGGAGUGAGGUCAUUAAAUCCACAAAGGGAAGGCUUAGAGCUCAGUUCUUUUCCUUCUAUAUCUUUGUUGCCCUGCCCUCCUCCUUCUCUCCUUCAUUCUCCCUCUCCUCCUCCCUUCCUCCCUCCUCCCCACUACCCUACUUCCAUUCCUCCUCUCUGGCUGUCCUGAGGUGAGCACUUCCCUCCACCAUUAGUUAGGGUUCCUCACCACAGAGCCACGGGGCCAACUGAUCAGUAACAGAAAGCUCUGAAACGGGGCCAAAACAAGUCUCUCUGUUCUAUAAGAAGAGCCCCCUUGCCCGGCAUUUUGUUCCUGUGACUGCCCCUACUGGCUCCCUCAGAGCGUGGUGCCCCAGCAUUAGCCUAUAGGCAAUUCCACUGGCCUGCUCUCAUGCCCACCCAGCUCUCUCUCUGUUCUCAACAUUCCCUCUCCCUUUCUCCGUGUGCCCCUUCUCUUUCCCUCUCUGCCCGCUCUCUCUGCCCUCACGGCUCUGCUCCCUGGCUAUCUGUCUGUGUACAUGUUCUCUUGACCUCUACCCCUUCCCCAGGUCUUCACUCCUUUCUCCUCCCCCAAUAAACCUCUUUUACACCAAAUCUGUUGCAUGGCCUAAUUUCUUUUUUUUUUCGGAGCUGGGGACUGAACCCAAGGCCUUGCGCUUGCUAGGCGAGCACUCUACCACUGAGCUAAAUCCCCAACCCCAUGGCCUAAUUUCUUAAGGGUGCACCUUGGCACGGGACUCUCCAAAGUUACCCCCUCGCUGCAUUCUCCUUGUAACACCCUGUGCUACCUCUUGACUCACAGAGGACAGCCGGUCCAGCUCUGAGCCUGCUUCAGUCCAUCUCAACGGACUGGGGACUAACUGCAGAGAAGAAAGGAUACAGGAUACACUAGUUUUUAAGGUGAGGUGGGAUGAAGUGGAGGGAUAGCCUCCCCAGAGCCUCUCAGGGGCUGGACAGAUGCCUCCCUCAGAGGGAGUUCAAUCCCUGGGACCCACAUGGUGAAACCUAAGAACCAACUCCCGGGGUUGGGGAUUUAGCUCAGUGGUAGAGCACUUGCCUAGCAAGCACUAGGCUCUGAGUUCGGUCCCCAGCUCCAAAAAAAAGAAAAGAAAAAAAAAAAAGAACCAACUCCUGGAGGCAGUCCUUUGACUUACACAUGAGUGCACUGCCAUACGUACAAAUAAAGUAAGUAAAUGAUUUUUUUAAAAAGAACAUUUCACAGCUCCCAAGAGAGUCAAGUACAAAGCAUGGGUAUAAACCUCAGUGAUUCACACACAUGCACAUAAAUGUCUCUGUGUAAGCACACUCACAGGGGACCUACCGUGUGUCAGUCAAGACAAUCUGAUGUCAACAGGAACCCAGGAAGGGAGGUAAGAGUCAGGGGACGGCUGGAGAAACUACUAGACCUGAAAUGUCAUGUUCUUAGGAUCAAGUUUUGUGCGCCUGUCUCUAUUCUCAGAGUAGAAACUCUGCCCUGAGAUUCCCAGGAUCCUACAACUGCUUCUAGGCAGAGUCUGGAGGGCAGAGAUGGAAACUUCGCUACACUUGGCGACGAGCAGCCUCAGGCGUCUUUAGCCCAGACGGCCUUAGAAACUGAGGCCAGGAAAAGAUAAUUGUUUCCUGGAAUCGAGAAUUGCAGGGUCAGAGUGCUCCCUGGGCCCAUCCCCCUGUGGUGGAUGUGUUGACAGCCGUGCGUACAUGUGUGUACAUACUGACGGGGAAGGACUCCAGGUUCCCUCCAGACACCAAACCCUAGGGAUGCUAAAUUCUCUUAGAUUCCAUGGCAUGGUAUUUGCAGAAAGCUCCUGCACCUGCUCCUGUCUGCUCCUGAUCCUGUCACCUGUGACUUACAACACUUAAUACAAUAUUAAUGAUAUGCAAAUUGGGAGUAAUUGAUAGUAACAGGAAACCUAUGUACUGAUUCAGUGCAGUGUUUUCCCAAGCCAAAGGGAAAACUAAUGGCUUGAGACAGUGUGGUGUUCUGGAGUCUGGCUUUCCUUAACUUCCUCAUCCUCUGGGCGCAGCCUCCUGAGUGCUGGGAUUUAUGGGAAGGUAUCUCUCUGCCAAUCCAAUAUUGUGGUUUCUGGUUGGUUGUCUCAACAGCUGCUGGAGCCCUAGACGUGGCAGGCUGAGUGUAGCGUGUCCAUAUAAACUAUGGUAGCCUAAACUGAUAAAGGUAAGGAUAUUAAUUUACAGAGCAAUCCGAUACUCUGAACGUCUCAGAGGAGUUUCUCUGUGCAAUGCAUGGUGGGUAACCCAGAACUCGCCACCAGCCAAGGCACCAGUGGGUAAGCGUAGAGUGUUGAACCCAAAUGGUACAUCUAUAGUAGGCCUCCUCCCUGGGCUUCAGGUCAGGUUUUCCCACCAAGUGCAUGGGCUAAUUGUGUGUAAGAAGUAUUCAUGUACAUGUGUACACCUUUGUGCACAGGUGUGUGUGUGCGUGUGUACACACAUUGAGGCCAGAGGUUGUCAUGAAUAACCCCUUCAGUUACCUUGCACUUAUUUUUGAGGCAGUGUCUCCUCCAGAACCUGGCUGGCUAGCACAUCUCAGAUCCUCCUGCCCCGCCUCCCCACAUGGGAUUAUAGGCACGGUGGCUUUUUACUCUGGGUACUGAAAGUCAAACUCAGGUGCCCCACCUGGGUGGCAAACCCUUACCAACCUGAGCCUUCUACCAAGUUUUUAUCUUUAAAGCAGUUUGCAUUGAAGGAUUUCGGGUAGGAGUUAUUGGUUCUAGCACUCUUUUCCUCAUGGGGUGGUGACAAGGGUCACACAUCUGCGUCAGAUGCAGGGAUGUAGAAAGCAUGAGGACCGGGGUUGGGGAUUUGGCUCAGUGGUAUAGCGCUUACCUAGGAAGCACAAGGUCCUGGGUUCAGUCCCCAGCCCCGGGGAAAAAAAAAAAAAAAAAAAAGGAAGGCAUGAGGACCUUUGUCUUUGUGCUCGCAGAGGAGAAGAGAGAAGUUUCUCCUAGAGAAACCAGGAAUCUCACACAUGCAGGCUUUUCACGACAGCAGGAGUCACACCUAUUUCUGUUGGAUCAGAUGUAUUAAUAGUCUGAUGCGGACCUUUGCUGUCUGUGGAGCCUCUUCCCAGAGCCCUGAGCAUCACGUCUCUGCCAAUCAGAACCCAUUCUUGUGGAAGGUGUCACAGGUAAGUUGCAAAAGACCUGUUUGUUGCCAAGGAGUUUCGAUGGGGUCAUGCCUUAAGCUUUAUCAUGGUAAUUGGCACAAGGAGACUUUUUUUCAAGGUUGUGCUAUGUUUAACGACGUCAAAAAUAAACUGCUUGGGUCAGACUGCGGAACUUUGAACUAGAACCAGCUAACAAGUUGAAUCGGAUUUCCUUCUACCUCGUGUGAAUCUCUUCUCUGCAGCCAGUGGUGGAUAUGCAGAGACAUCCCGUCUACCCACACCCUAUGCAUGCGAGAGCACACACACACACACACACACACACACACACACACACACAGAGAGAGAGAGAGAGAGAGAGAGAGAGAGAGAGAGAGAGAGAGAGAGAGAGAAAGACACACACAUACGAAGAUAGCCUGGGACAGGAGGGAACCCAGUGGGCACAGCCACCGUAAGUCUAUUGCAUUUUUGGAAAGUCUGCUGGGUAACCCAGAGUACGCACUGGGCUUCUCCCAAUGGCUUAAAGUUAUCAACACUGGUAUGGUAUGCACCUUACAGCGGGAGAAUCAGCCCAAGGGCAGGCUACUGAUUUACAGUUCUGCAGGCAGGUAUGACUGUGGUCUUCCGGGUCCUGGCUCAGCAGUGACUACUUAGUGUGGACCCUAGCACGCAUAGCUGGGAAGGAGAGGUGGAGGGGCUCUUUGGCAGGGCUGGAGGGGUGGAAUUCAAGGUGUGACACACGCAAGCACUCUCACCCUGAGCCACACCACAGCCAGUCCUCUGUCCAUUCACCUCACAGUGUGUGCAGAGGAAGAUAGGAAAUUAAACCUCAGAACCAGACGCCUAUUAGCAAGGCCCAUUUUCCGGGAAACGGACUUAGAAGCUAGCCUGCAGCUUUACAGCGUGCUUCGAGGUUAGAAUAAACCAGUUUCAUAAUCUCAUUCCUGUCUCCAAGAGCCACCACGCUCCAACCAUUGGCCCAGUUGGAGAGUAAUAUCUACCCUUGCUUCUGUUUCUGUUCUGCUCAGACACUGGUCACAGCACCCACUGGACUGAUCAGAGGGCUCCUAGAGAGGUCUCGAGGAGCCAGUAGCAGCAUUCAAAUACAAGCACCAUCAGGCCGAACCACCGUAUGUAUCUGCCGAACCUCCAGGAGUGAUUUCCAAGGCCAAUCGGGGAUGGCUUGAACUAAGACUGUCUUCGUUUGGGUUUCAUUGCUGUGAGGACACGCCAUGACCGCGGCAGCUCUUAGAAAGGAAAGCGGUUAAUUGGGGCGGGCUUACAGGUUCAGAGGUUUAGCCAUCGUUGUCAUGGUGAGAAGCGUGGCAGCACACAGACAGACUUGGUGCUUGAGGAGCUUAGAGUUCUACCUCUGGAGCUGAGGGUAGCAGGAAGUGACAACGACACACUUCCUCCAACGAGGCCACACCUCCCAGUAGUGGCACUCCAUUUAAAGCGGACACACAGACGGACCACGCCACACAGCGCUAUGGGCAUCAAGCAUGGAACUCCACAAAGACUUAGUUACCCCGAAUCCAAAGUCCUGAGCAAUGGUUUCUGAGCGUUAUUUUGCCGCUGAGAGUCAUCAGCCCACGAGAACAUAUAAGAAUUAAGGUGGGGAUUGGGAAGAUGGCUCAGCAGGAAAAGGUGUUGCUGGCUGCUUCGGAGCCUGAGUUUGGUCCCUGAGAUUGAACAUGGCAGAAGAGGACCAACUCCCGCCAGUUGUCCUCUGAUUUCACAGGGACGGAGCGGCAUGUGUCAUCCCCAUACACGAAACAGAUAAACAAAACAGAAUAAGCAGGGGAGGCCAGCAGUUGAUCUUACUUGCUGGCAGAGCUGUUGGAGAAUGAGGUUCUGACCUGAGUCAGGAGCACAUCUGGCCAUACUGAACUGUGUCCCCUCUCAGGUGAGCUCCCCCUGGAGUGUCCCUAUCAGAUGGCAGGAACAAAAGGCUAAGAGAUCUGCAAGCAGACAGGACUUAGGGACAGAGGAAGGAGCAGCUGGGGCCCCAGCCUAAAAAUCUAAUGGAUAAACUCCUGCCUGGGGACCUGGAGGAGUGGAUGGGAGGUGGCUGUCAUGACUUUCUUCAUAGGGAUGCAGGAAAGAAAGACAUGUCAUAGGCAACAUGUAAGCUAAAAGUCACUUUAGACAAUUUGUGUACAAGUGUAUGCACAUCCAUGUGUGUGCAUCCAUGUAUAUGUGCAUGCAUAUACAUGAGUACAAAUACACAUGUGAAUGUGCAUGUGUGCACAUGUGCAUACAUGUAUGUGAAAGGAAAAUUAUACAGAUUUAAGGUUUAAAAAUAUGAAGUUAAAAGAGUAAGUUUCAAAAUUCACAGACUCAGGGCUAAACACUGUGAAAAGCAAGUCCAGGCAGCCCCGCCCUGCCGCUAGGACUAACAGACCAUAAAGAUAAAAGGAAUGCAGGAACCAGCCCAAGUUAUCAGGACUGACUCAAACCAUCUGGCAGAAGGGCACCUCCCCCAGCUUACUCAGAGUCACACCUUAACCAGAUGUCCUUCAAACCCUGAUACGACCCUAGCUUCUAAAAUCCUGUACGCUCCAGUCAAUACGUACUCUCCUGCUGUGCUGUAAUCUCACUGCCAUGUUUAAAUGAGCCAAUCACUUAUAGCCGCCCCAGAAAUUAGCCAAUUGUGCCAAACCCCCUAGCCUUCCCUAUAUAAACCCCUGACUUUUGAGCUUCGGGGUUGACACCUCUGUCUCCUGCACAGGAUACGUGUCGACCCGGAGAUCCCUGUAAUAGAUCUCCGUAAUAAACCUCACCUUUGCUUAUUACA